UUUAAUCCCCACCGAGGAUGAGCCCUGGAAACCCUAGCCUUUCUCCCUCCCUUGCGCCGCCACCGUCUUCCUCUUCCCUCGUUCAUUUUUUUUUCUUUUUCUCUGUUCUGUGUGAGGAACGAGCAACACACCGCACUUUCCCCGCCAUGGCGUCGCCGCUCCACACCAUCCCCCGCCGUUCUGAGGGCACCGUUAGAUGCGCCUCGUCGCCCUCUCCAACCUCAUGCGAGGAAUUGAACCGGAACCUCUCCAAUCGCCCACAAAAUCGCCGAUUCCCUCUCCGACGCCGACGAGAUAAUCCUCGAUUCCGGCUACUCCAGUCCAUCUCCGGCCUCCCCGACCUCUCCAUGACCAUCCUGGUGCUCGACCCUGGCGGUGCUUCGGUGAUCGCAUGAACUCUAUGUCGACCAUUUCAGGUUCAGCGCGGCGACGCGCACGCCUGACGCCCUCCCCCUCGUCCCGUCUCGGUCGUAAUCACUAGGGCCGUGCUCCACAGGUGUUUCCGCCAUGGCCAUGUUGGUGAAGAUCAAACCCAUCGGCCCAAGUUCGAAUCCCACCGGUGCGUUGAACUUGUUUUUGGAUUUUCGGAUGAGCCCACUGACUCGACAUCUACUUCAAAUUAACCGGCGCAUCCAUCCUGUCAAGGUAGAAUCAGUAGGCCAACUGGUUCGGCCCUUAUUCCUUCAUCCAUGAGAUCCGGUGUUCAAAUCCUGAUGGAGGCCAUUUUAAUCCUGAACCUUUUUUUUUUCUGCUCCCCAGAUCCACGCAUGGGCCUCGGCCAGAUCCGUCAGGCAGUCCAGCCCACGCGCGUCGUCCUUCCUUCUGCUGGCCAGCAUUUGCUUCUUCCCGGAUAGGAUCACGAAGUGUUGAUGUGAGAUACGACGAGUUCUCCGACAAGUUCUUCUGCAUCUUUUCACAGGCGAGCCCUCUCUCUUCACCUAUUUUACUCUCUCCCUCGCACUGCUAUCCUUAUGUUGCGAUUCUUUAUCGAGUCACGUGUCCUAUUCCACUUCUUACCAUAAUAAUCCUAUAUGCACCAUUCCUUAUCCAUAGCCGUUGCUUGAUGUUUGAGCCUUGCGAGUCGUAGGCGUGUUUAGGCUCUGUUGUUUAUCUCGAUCUGAUAUCGGGAUAUGUUGGGUUGUUGGGAGGUUAUCACAUGCUAUAUCAGUUGUUGGAGAUACACAUGCUUUACUUAAUUGUUAACAACUAAAACUGUAAGCACAUGCAUCUGUGAGCCCCUUUGCGAAAGCAUCGAAACUUUGACUCACUAAUGUCCCCUAGGACCCGAGUUCUUGUUAUCUGUUCCGAGACUGAGCGCUCUAACCACACGUGGGUAUGCUUACCGGGUCUCCCCUCGACCACUGCCGGAAUCUACAGCUUUGUCCAGUGGACACAACUAGUUUGAAUGUUUGUUUGAUUCUCCCGGGCGUGCAAGCAUGUUUCUUUGUGGUCAGAUGAUAUGAUGUUACUUUUGGGGAAGCCAUGUUGCCUUGUAACCCCGUUGUCUCUUGCACGCUCGUAGGCGCGGUACGUAUUGCUGAAGAUGGAUUCACCCUGCGGGCACUGUUUCCAUCCGAAAGCCGUAGACGCAAACAGCUAAGUCCGCUUCGGAGCACGGCCGGACUUCGAUACGGGUUAACUUAGUUAGGUGACUUCCUGGAUAUUGUUGUCGUGAACGAGAGUGCGAGUCGUGAUAUCCACCUGUCGCAAGUGGGUUGAGCGUGCGUGUGGGCACAUUUGGGCACCCCUGCAGGGUUACAAUCUUAUCGAUAAGCCGCGUCCGCGGUUAUGGACGACUUGGAAUUGUAUGACUCGAUCAUAGACAACUUACACCUUUUUACUUGUUGUUAAUAAUCUGAUAAUAACUUGGGUAGUAAUAUAGCAUUACUACAAUCGAUACCUAAUAAAACUUGUCCACCGUUGAGUGCCUUUUACAUUGCCUCUUCGCUUUGUUGAAGGGGAUAUGUGUAAUCGGUUGGGUUAUGUUUGUGUAGUAUUUAUCUGUUACCUUGUGCGCUCUCUUAUCUUCUCUAAUUAGACGGAUGUUGUAGCGUGUCUCUAUUGGUUAUAGUUUUGCUGCCGCUAAACCUACCAUAUAGCCCCAGGCGAUAUAUAUUUAUACUCGCCCGGCGAGCAUAGCUAUUUCUAGUCUCGCUAAGUACGUACCGGAGUUCAUUCCUUGGUACUUACUCUCGCCUUUCCUUUUUCUCUUUUGCUUCCUCCCUUUUGUCGGCAACCGAUGGCCCGACUUUGACAGGUACGAGAUGAUGACGUUAGCAAGGUUACCCUUCCGGCUUGGCCUGGGCAGGGUUAUGGACGCCACUGGUUAUCUUCAGGACUCUUAGUCCAAUUUGUAUCUUGUCCGUACUCGGACGUAUUCGAUCUUCUGUAUGAUUCGGAUCUUUGUGCUGUAUAUUUGUAUCUUGACUCGUUGGAGUCGUUGUUGUAAUAUAUGUAUCUUGUGGGCUCUAUUGUAAUCCUGUUGUAAUGUUACCGCUCGUGUUAAUUCCUCUGGCAUCACGUGUGUGAUUCGUCGCGCACGUCUUGUCGAAGGGCGUCUCAGAAUCGAUAUCGUGCGGAUUUCGGCUGGAUCGCUGGAAUCCUCAGGAUACCGGUUUCGGGGCGUCACAGCUUGUAUUGCA